rnacentral:rRNA from 1 species
UUGAUCCUGGCUCAGAAUCAACGCUGGCGGCGUGCCUAACACAUGCAAGUCGAACGCGAAAGGGGAGCAAUCCCUGAGUAGAGUGGCAAACGGGUGAGUUACACGUGGGUGACCUGCCUUCGAGUGGGGGAUAACGUCCCGAAAGGGACUCUAAUACCGCAUGACAUCCUGUCUUUGGACAGAUGGAGAUCAAAGCUGGUGAUCGCAAGACCUGGCGCUUGAAGAGGGGCCCGCGCCUGAUUAGCUAGUUGGUGAGGUAACGGCUCACCAAGGCUACGAUCAGUAUCCGGCCUGAGAGGUCGGACGGACACACUGGGACUGAGACACGGCCCAGACUCCUACGGGAGGCUGCAGUGGGGAAUUGUUCGCAAUGGGCGCAAGCCUGACGACGCAACGCCGUGUGGAGGAUGAAGAUUUUCGGAUCGUAAACUCCUGUCGAGCGGGAAGAAUAGUUUCAGCGUAAAUACCGCUGGAGCCUGACGGUACCGCUAAAGGAAGCUCCGGCUAACUCCGUGCCAGCAGCCGCGGUAAUAAGGU